UACGUAGGGGGCAAGCGUUGUCCGGAAUCAUUGGGCGUAAAGCGCGUGUAGGCGGUCCGGUAAGUCCGCUGUGAAAUCCCGGGGCUCAACUCCGGGGCUGCAGGUGAGACUGCGUGGCUAGAGCACGGUAGAGGCGAGUGGAAUUCCCGGUGUAGCGGUGGAAUGCGUAGAUAUCGGGAAGAACACCGGUGGCGAAGGCGGCUCGCUGGGCCGUUGCUGACGCUGAGGCGCGAAAGCGUGGGGAGCAAACAGG
rnacentral:rRNA from 1 species